GCAUCAGUGGUGUAGCGGUAACAUUGGGUCUUCCCAUUGGGUAAUCUAGACUGGCCUAGCUCCGGGUUCGACUCCCGGCUGAUGCA